AACAUUAAAGUAAUGACUUUAGUGUGUUCCAUUAUGAAUGCAAAAUAUAUUGCCAUAUAGAAGUAUACAACAAUGUUGUUUGGAUGGGAAAGUUCAUUUAUGAACUCUCUAUUCGGUUCCAACCAGAAAGUGUAUCUAGUGUACUGACACUAUGACACUAAUGGGGCGAUAGCUCAAGCCAAGGAAUCAAGGUCUCAUCAAGGUUCGAACUCAAAUGAGAGACUAAACCACAUGAUUGAGAAUCACGUAUAAUGGUGACGUCAUUAUUCUCAAGGUUGCUUUUAUGGAUAACAUAUAGAUAUCCAUUCUCUAGGCCUACUACUCAGCCAUUUUUGAAAUGACUACAUAAGAGGUAUCAUCAGUGAUGACCAAGCUGAUUGGCUCUAGUGCAAGUGGGAGAUUGUUGGAAAUGUGCCCUAAAACCAAUCAUAUGAUGAUACUUUACGGACAUUUCACAAGUUAAACUAAUGUAGUUUAAAUAUAAAGCACAAAAGUUAUUGUUUGAGCCGUCUCAUAUAAAUGUUAUAUGCGUAAACGAUAAGUCCAAGGAAUAUGUGAUUAGGAGAAUGCGAUCUAAAGAAGUUAGAUUCAUGAGACCAUUCUCUUUCGUAUACAUGUCCUAAACGUUCCUGAUCAUAGGAUUGUCAAUUGGGCAUUGACAGUCCGUUAAGAUCAGUACGUGUUGUGUCUUCUCUCAGGGAGAGUGACUAGUCUCGAGUCAUUGGUGUGACUGACACCAAGACAAGCAUGUAGGUGCUCAAUAGCGAAUGAGUCCACUGAACACGAUCAACGAGGAGUUCUCAUAACUCAUGUCACAUGAGAACUCAUGGUUGGGAUAAUGCAAAGUAGUCCUUUGACUUGAGGCAUCAUAGUUGUCUUGUGGUUAGGUCCUUGAUCUUUGAUUAUGUCAAAGUCACUCCAUUCGCGGGUGUCCACGGCAUAGUUGGGGUUAAGCCACUUAGCUAUGGAGGCAAGUGAAUGCGCAACAAGGGAUCUCUAACCUUCAAACCGUUUGAGGGAGAAUAAUCUAUGAUAUGAUUAAGAAUCUUUGGCCAAAGUAUGAAUGAGAUUUAGGAAGGUGUUCCAAAUCACAUUCAAGGUAAUCAUAUAAGUAAAUGAAACACAUUGGAUAGUAGACAUGAAUAAACUAUCAAACCAAACAAUGUGGUCAAGAGUAUUGUAUUAGAGAAAGACCGUAUUACAUUGUAAUCCUAAACUGAAUAGGUUCUCCACCUCUUCUGAUUAGCUUGGGUAACCAUGAUAUGCUGCUAGGUGUCACUCAUGGUUAGUGGAAGCCCUAAACGUGUAUAAACACUAAAGGGAGAAUUGAAAGUAAGUUUCAAUUC
rnacentral:lncRNA from 1 species